rnacentral:rRNA from 1 species
GAUGAACGCUGGCGGCGUGCUUAACACAUGCAAGUCGAACGGUGAAGCAGAGCUUGCUCUGUGGAUCAGUGGCGAACGGGUGAGUAACACGUGAGCAACCUGCCCCUGACUCUGGGAUAAGCCUUGGAAACGGGGUCUAUAACUGGAUAUGAGCUGCGACCGCAUGUUAAGCAGUUGGAAAAAUUUUUCGGUCUGGGAUGGGCUCAGGGCCUAUCAGCUUGUUGGUGAGGUAAUGGCUCACCAAGGCGUCGACGGGUAGCCGGCCUGAGAGGGUGACCGGCCACACUGGGACUGAGACACGGCCCAGACUCCUACGGGAGGCAGCAGUGGGGAAUAUUGCACAAUGGGCGAAAGCCUGAUGCAGCAACGCCGCGUGAGGGAUGACGGCCUUCGGGUUGUAAACCUCUUUUAGCAGGGAAGAAGCGAAAGUGACGGUACCUGCAGAAAAAGCGCCGGCUAACUACGUG